rnacentral:SRP_RNA from 1 species
GCCGGGCGUGGUGGCGCACGCCUGUAAUCCCAGCACUUUGGGAGGCUGAGUCAGGCGGAUCACCUGAGGUCAGGAGUUUGAGACCAGCCUGGCCAACAUGGCGAAACCCCGUCUCUA